CCGUUUAGUUUUAUUUGCUGGUUGCUUAUUCAAAAUCAGCGAUUGUCAAACAGAACGCAGAUCAUAUUCCAGGCAGCUACUCACUCCAUAAUGUUUAUCCUACUCCAACAAGGGAUUCUGCAUUACUAAAUGCUUGUCACAUGC